rnacentral:rRNA from 1 species
GACGAACGCUGGCGGCGUGCCUAAUACAUGCAAGUAGAACGCACAGUUUAUACCGUAGCUUGCUACACCAUAGACUGUGAGUUGCGAACGGGUGAGUAACGCGUAGGUAACCUGCCUGGUAGCGGGGGAUAACUAUUGGAAACGAUAGCUAAUACCGCAUAAUAUUAAUUAUUGCAUGAUAAUUAAUUGAAAGGUGCAAUUGCACCACUACCAGAUGGACCUGCGUUGUAUUAGCUAGUAGGUGAGGUAACGGCUCACCUAGGCGACGAUACAUAGCCGACCUGAGAGGGUGAUCGGCCACACUGGGACUGAGACACGGCCCAGACUACUACGGGAGGCAGCAGUAGGGAAUCUUCGGCAAUGGACGAAAGUCUGACCGAGCAACGCCGCGUGAGUGAAGAAGGUUUUCGGAUCGUAAAGCUCUGUUGUAAGAGAAGAACGGGUGUGAGAGUGGAAAGUUCACACUGUGACGGUAUCUUACCAGAAAGGGGCGGCUAACUACGUG